rnacentral:rRNA from 1 species
CCUACGGGUGGCAGCAGUGGGGAAUAUUGCACAAUGGGGGAAACCCUGAUGCAGCGAUGCCGCGUGAGUGAAGGUGUAAUUCGUUCUGUAAAGCUCUAUCAGCCGGGAAGAAAAUGACGGUACCUGAGUAAGAAGCCCCGGCUAACUACGUGCCCGCAGCCGCGGUAAUAGGUAGGGGGCAAGCGUUAUCCGGAUUUACUGGGGGAAAAGGGAGUGUAGACGGCAGUGAAAGUCUGGAGUGAAAGGCGGGGGCUGAACCCCGGAGUGCUCUGGAAACUGUACGGCUGGAGUGCAGGAGAGGUAAGUGGAAUUCCUAGUGUAGCGGUGAAAUGCGUAGAUAUUAGGAGGAACACCAGUGGCGAAGGCGGCUUACUGGACUGUAACUGACGUUGAGGCUCGAAAGCGUGGGGAGCAAACAGGAUUAGAUACCCGUGUAGUC